rnacentral:rRNA from 1 species
GUGUCAGCAGCCGCGGUAAUACAGAGGUCUCAAGCGUUGUUCGGAAUUAUUGGGCGUAAAGGGUGCGUAGGCGGUUCGGUCAGUUGGGUGUGAAAAGUCGAGGCUCAACCUCGAAAUUGCACCCAAUACUACCGGGCUAGAGUACUGCAUAGGAAGCUGGAACUUACGGUGUAGCAGUGAAAUGCGUAGAUAUCGUAAAGAAGACCAGAGGCGAAAGCGAGCUUCUAGGCAGUUACUGACGCUCAUGCACGAAAGCCAAGGUAGCAAACGGGAUUAGAUACCCGCGUAGUCC